CAGGUAAAGAGGCCAUGCUGCUAGCUAGUUGGCUACGAGCUAAGCUAAGUAGUGAAACAGCAAAGACACAGAGUGACUACUGUGACUAUAAAUUAGGUAGUGAGUACACAGGGAGUGUGCUUCGGAUGAAGCAUGUGAAGAUUAUACUAUGAAAAAAGAAGGCAUCUACAGUAAGUUAUCUAAAAGAUUUAAAUUGCUAUGCAGAUAAGCCACUCAAAAACACCACUGUGUGUUGGAACAGGACGUGAUACUCUACCACAGAGAGAGCGAACACCAAGUGACAGGGUGGCCCCUUUUCGAGCAACAGUUGGAGCCCAUCAGGGAUUGAACCCAGAACCUUUUGCACCCAAGCCAAGAAACAGACCCCUGACCAACAAGCUACAUAUUGUCCUGUGUAGAAAGAAUCUGACUGGACGUUGUUACUGGAAGGUGGAGUAGAGAGGGUUGAAGUUGCAGUCACAUACGAGAAUGAAGAACAUCAGUGUAGAUUUGAAAUGAAUGAUAAAAUAAAGGUGAAACACACUGUACUGUAAAAAUGACUUAUUACACACGUGCAAUGCAGGCUGUAAUAUAGAUAGCAGAUAAUUUAUCUGAAUUUCAGGAGCGGGACCACUUCUCCAAACAUGCCCCUUCCGGGUCUUAUCUAUAUUUGACCCCCCAGUUCAUUUUUGUUGCCCACCCUCCCUGCCCUUUUUUCAAUUCUUUCACUUCUUCACUACUUGUUAGGGUACCUGGGUCUGGUGACCCAGUGGUUUUGAUUUUGUUUGUGCAUAUUCUGACUUACUGUUUCUAUUAUUUAGUUUUGUAUUUCUAGCUUCCUAAGUUCUUUAGUAUGUCCUGAUUUCCAGUCUUAGGUUUUGUUUACAGUCUUCCCUAUGUUCAGUGUUAUGCCUUUUUCAUGUUUCUGUCUCAGUGUCAGGUUUGCAUUGCUGUGUUAUGUUUCCUGUUUUACUUUGACAGUCUGCAUCUAUUGAGGUGCUGGAUGUAUUACUCAAGGUCCUUACCUUCCAUCUUUCUAUAUAUGUAUAUAAUAUGUAAAUCUCCAAUCAACCAAUUUCAGUGGGCCAAUCUGAAUUAAACUUUACAUGAACAUUGUCACACAUGCAGUGAAUAUUAAAAUCUAUAUGUUAAAAAACAAACAAAAAAACUGUUAUCCCAAUUCUUUGGAUUCUUGGAGUUACAGAUUUAUCAUUGCCCUACAAAUGUGAUUUUAUGUAACAUUUUCAUUUGUAAAAAGUAAAGAAUGAAGACGCUGUUAAAGCACUGCACACCUGACAGUUAAUUAUUCUGUUAACAAGAACAUCUACAUCAUUUGUGGUAUCAUUACUGAGGAGGAGGAGGCUGGUUUUGG
rnacentral:lncRNA from 1 species